rnacentral:lncRNA from 1 species
CAGGAACUCAAGCUUCCCUCACCCAACACCCGAAGCCUCUUGUCACUGUGGGAGACCUUGAAGCUUAAAUGAAUCAUCUCCUUAAUCUGCCGUUCAAGCAGCUGAGUUCGGCCGGGGACUUCUGAAGGAGAGGGAACUGCCAGCUGGGGAGCGGAUACCUGAGUUCUGAGUGUAGAACACCAAGAGAUAGAGAAGCCUUGAGCUCACACAAGCAGAGUUCUGUGCAGGGAGAUGUCUCAGAAAAAGUGUUUCUUUAGCCCUCUCCCUGACUUGCAUCCUCAUGAGACUCUUAAACCCCCUCCUGACCUUCAGAGAUGUUUAUCAUCAGAGAUGGGUUAUGGAAGUGAUCCUAUAGAACCUGAGAGAUUGCUUAACUCAAACUCUGCUUCUACAUUAGAGGACUACGUGUCUUUCCCCAGGACUAUAUGCCGUUCCCUUUCCAGGACUAUGUGUCUUUCCGCAGGACUAUAUGCCAUUCCCCAAGUGCCAUUCGGAAAUUAUUCAUAAAAUUUAUGUAGAAACGAAAGGUUCAAAAAUAGCAAAGACACUUGAAGAACCAGGUAGGAAGGACUUGUUCUACCAGCUAUUGAUUUAUUAUAUUAUUACUCCAAUUAAGACACCGAGAUUGUCAUCAAUAUUGAAAAAUAGAUCAGAAGCAACAAAUUAAAAAUCCAGAAACCAGUCAUUUUUCCAUACUAAUUUGGUCUCAAUGAGAACAACAUAAUUCUCAUUCAUCUCCCUGUAGAAGUUAUAUAUUUCCAAAGUGGUUCAAAUGUACUGAAAGCCAACUCACCACUAGGAAUUGAAUCAAAAUUGACCCACAGACGUACAACAUUAAGUUUGCUGCGAAGAUUUAAAUCAGUGGGACAUAAAAUAAAAAUUGUAUGCUACCCAAACCAAAGCCUCUCCUUCAAAAAAUACUGUUGUUUUUGUUGUUGUCAUUGUUUUCCCAUUAUGUCACAGUUCUUAAGUGGUAGAAAAGCAAGUUGAUAGGAAUCACUUUAUCUUGUAGUUUCAUUUUCAUACCACAGAGCUUCAGUUUCCUUCCAGGCAAAAGUCAUCAGUGUAGUAACAGAUGCAUCUUUUUCUGCCCUAGGAUCUUAG